AAGUCGUAACAAGGUUUCCGUAGGUGAACCUGCGGAAGGAUCAUUAGUGAAUUUCUAGCAUCUUCGCCAAGUACUCUGCUUCACCGCAGAGGAACGGUCGCUAAUCACAAAUCCAUAACACCUGUGAACUGUUUGAGUGGACUUCUGUCUGCUUCUUUUUACCAAACUAUACUAGUCAAUGAUGUUUUUUACUUUAAUAAAUAAAACUUUCAACAACGGAUCUCUUGGCUCCCA
rnacentral:misc_RNA from 1 species